rnacentral:rRNA from 1 species
AGAGUUUGAUCCUGGCUCAGGACGAACGCUGACGGUGUGCUUUAGACAUGCAAGUCGAACGAGAAAGCCCUUCGGGGUGAGUACAGUGGCGAACGGGUGAGUAACACGUGGGCAAUCUGCCCCUCGCAGGGGGACAACCGGGGGAAACCCCGGCUAAUACCCCGUACGCUUACGGAGCCGCAUGGCUCCGUAAGGAAAGGUAGCUUCGGCCAUCCGGCGAGGGAUGAGCCCGCGGUACAUUAGCUAGUUGGUGAGGUAACGGCUCACCAAGGCGACGAUGUAUAGCUGGUCUGAGAGGAUGAUCAGCCACACUGGGACUGAGACACGGCCCAGACUCCUACGGGAGGCAGCAGUCGGGAAUCUUGCGCAAUGGGCGAAAGCCUGACGCAGCAACACCGUGUGAGCGACGAAGGCCUUCGGGUCGUAAAGCUCUGUUGUUGGGGACGAAGGGUUAGGGGUUAAUAGCCCCGAGCCUGACGGUACCCUUCGAGGAAGCCCCGGCUAACUACGUGCCAGCAGCGGCGGUAAUUC